AACGAACGCUGGCGGCAUGCCUAACACAUGCAAGUCGAACGAGACCUUCGGGCUUAGUGGCGCACGGGUGCGUAACGCGGGGGAACCUGCCCUUAGGUUCGGCAUAACUCCCCGAAAGACGUGCUAAUACCGGCUAAUGUACUCCGACCAUAGAUUUGACGCCUUUGGGUGGGCUUGAGUUGGCUUAGUUGGUUGGUAGGGUAAAAGCCUCUCAAUGGGUCGUUACAUAGCUGGGCUGAGAGGAGGAUCAGCGACACUGGGACUGAGACACGGCCCAGACUCCUACGGGAGGCGGGAGUGGGGGAUACUGGACAGUGGGGGGAGGCCUGAACCAGCAAGGCCGCGUGAGUGAUGAAGGCCUUAGGGUUGUAAAGCUCUUUUACCCGGGAUGAUAAUGACAGUACCGGGAGAAUAAGCACCGGCUAACUCCGUG
rnacentral:rRNA from 1 species